rnacentral:rRNA from 1 species
GAUGAACGCUGGCGGCGUGCCUAAUACAUGCAAGUCGAGCGAACAGAUGAGGAGCUUGCUCCUCUGACGUUAGCGGCGGACGGGUGAGUAACACGUGGAUAACCUACCUAUAAGACUGGGAUAACUUCGGGAAACCGGAGCUAAUACCGGAUAAUAUAUUGAACCGCAUGGUUCAAUAGUGAAGGACGGUUUUGCUGUCACUUAUAGAUGGAUCCGCGCCGCAUUAGCUAGUUGGUAAGGUAACGGCUUACCAAGGCAACGAUGCGUAGCCGACCUGAGAGGGUGAUCGGCCACACUGGAACUGAGACACGAUCCAGACUCCUACGGGAGGCAGCAGUAGGGAAUCUUCCGCAAUGGGCGAAAGCCUGACGGAGCAACGCCGCGUGAGUGAUGAAGGUCUUCGGAUCGUAAAACUCUGUUAUUAGGGAAGAACAAAUGUGUAAGUAACUAUGCACGUCUUGACGGUACCUAAUCAGAAAGCCACGGCUAACUACGUG